UAAAGAGUCAGUAGAAAUGAAGGGAGACACAUCUGCAAAGCAAGGAAGCACAUUCCAAGAAAUACCACAUUCUAGUCCCUGCUCUGAAUUUACCAAAGAUGACUUUGAAACAGACUCUCUUAUAUGGCAGGUAUCCUGAGAGAAUAAUUGGGCACUUCAAUAUGGCUCUGUUUUGGAGAUAUGUGGAAGGCCAGAGCUUAAAUUAGGCAAAGAGCAUGAGUGGGACAGGACAUUCUUCUUUCAAUCUUUUCUACUUCUCAUGGAUUUCUCCUAAGAAACUUCAGUGCAAGAGGAGCCUUGCCACAAUCUGGCAGCGUCACUGCUACAGGACUGAGCUUGAAGACAGCCCUGCUUUUUAUCCAGUGCUUUUCCACAAGGAUGUUUCAGGUAGGAAGGAGUGGCUAAGUUCCUCAAA
rnacentral:lncRNA from 1 species